CAGGGCUUGGACAAGGCAUUCAGUGAGGAUGAGGUCAAAGUCGCGGUGCUUGGUUUACCGGGUGACAAGGCGCCCGGUCCAGAUGGCUUCACGGGCACUUUCUUCAAGGCGUGUUGGAACACAAUCAAGCCAGACAUCAUACUUGCGGUCAACCAUUUCUCCAACCUACAGACCGCUCGCUUUCAUUUGUUGAACUCAGCUGAUGUUGCCCUCGUUCUGAAGAAGGAUGGUGCUAAAGAUAUUUCUGACUUUCGCCCUAUAAGCCUAAUCCAUGCCAUCGCAAAGCUCAUUGUGAAGAUGAUGUCCAAAAGGCUUGCACCCUACAUGAACGACCUUGUCUCACAAGCUCAAAGUGCUUUCAUCGAGAAGAGAUCUAUUCAUGACGAUUUCAUGUAA
rnacentral:rRNA from 1 species